rnacentral:rRNA from 1 species
CACGUAGGGUGCAAGCGUUGUCCGGAAUCAUUGGGCGUAAAGAGCUCGUAGGCGGUCUGUCGCGUCGGUCGUGAAAACUUGGGGCUUAACCCUGAGCUUGCGGUCGAUACGGGCAUGACUGGAGUUCGGUAGGGGAGACUGGAAUUCCUGGUGUAGCGGUGAAAUGCGCAGAUAUCAGGAGGAACACCGGUGGCGAAGGCGGGUCUCUGGGCAUGAUCCGACGCUGAGGCGCGAAAGCGUGGGGAGCGAACAGG